rnacentral:rRNA from 1 species
UACAGAGGGUGCUAGCGUUGUUCGGAAUCAUUGGGCGUAAAGGGCGUGUAGGCGGUUUGUUAAGUCAUGUGUGAAAUCCCUCGGCUCAACCGGGGAAGGACGCAUGAAACUGGCAAGCUAGAGUACCAAAGAGGGGGGUGGAAUUCCCGGUGUAGCGGUGAAAUGCGUAGAUAUCGUAAGGAAGACCAGUGGCGAAGGCGGGUCUCUGGACAGUUCCUGACGCUGAGGCACGAAGGUCAGGGGAGCAAACGGG